rnacentral:rRNA from 1 species
UACGAAGGGGGCUAGCGUUGUUCGGAAUUACUGGGCGUAAAGCGCGCGCAGGCGGUUUUUCAAGUCGGGGGUGAAAGCCUGUGGCUCAACCACAGAAUUGCCUUCGAUACUGUUAGGCUUGAGACCGGAAGAGGUGAGUGGAACUGCGAGUGUAGAGGUGAAAUUCGUAGAUAUUCGCAAGAACACCAGUGGCGAAGGCGGCUCACUGGUCCGGUUCUGACGCUGAGGCGCGAAAGCGUGGGGAGCAAACAGG